GAUGAAGAACGCAGUGAAAUGCGAUAAGUAAUGUGAAUUGCAGAAUCCAGUGAAUCAUCGAAUCUUUGAACGCUCAUUGCGCCCGCCAGCAUUCUGGCGGGCAUGCCUGUUCGAGCGUCAUUUCAACCCUCGACCUCCCUUUGGGGAAGUCGGCGUUGGGGACCGGCAGCACACCGCCGGCCCUGAAAUGGAGUGGCGGCCCGUCCGCGGCGACCUCUGCGUAGUAAACCAACUCGCACCGGAACCCCGACGUGGCCACGCCGUAAAACACCCAACUUCUGAACGUUGACCUCGAAUCAGGUAGGACUACCCGCUGAACUUAAGCAUAUCAAUAAGCGGAGGA
rnacentral:misc_RNA from 1 species